rnacentral:rRNA from 1 species
GAUGAACGCUGGCGGCGUGCCUAAUACAUGCAAGUCGAGCGAAUGGAUUGAGAGCUUGCUCUUAUGAAGUUAGCGGCGGACGGGUGAGUAACACGUGGGUAACCUGCCCAUAAGACUGGGAUAACUCCGGGAAACCGGGGCUAAUACCGGAUAACAUUUUGAACCGCAUGGUUCGAAAUUGAAAGGCGGCUUCGGCUGUCACUUAUGGAUGGACCCGCGUCGCAUUAGCUAGUUGGUGAGGUAACGGCUCACCAAGGCAACGAUGCGUAGCCGACCUGAGAGGGUGAUCGGCCACACUGGGACUGAGAAACGGCCCAGACUCCUACGGGAGGCAGCAGUAGGGAAUCUUCCGCAAUGGACGAAAGUCUGACGGAGCAACGCCGCGUGAGUGACGAAGGCUUUCGGGUCGUAAAACUCUGUUGUUAGGGAAGAACAAGUGCUAGUUGAAUAAGCUGGCACCUUGACGGUACCUAACCAGAAAGCCGCGGCUAACUACGUGCCAGCCGCCGCCGUAA